rnacentral:rRNA from 1 species
CAAAAGCGUAUAUUAAAGUUGUUGCAGUUAAAAAGCUCGUAGUUGAACCUUGGGCUUGGCAGGCCGGUCCAUCUUUUUUGAUGCGUACUGGACCCAGCCGAGCCUUUCCUUCUGGCUAGCCUUUUGGCGAACCAGGACUUUUACUUUGAAAAAAUUAGAGUGUUCAAAGCAGGCCUUUGCUCGAAUAUAUUAGCAUGGAAUAAUAGAAUAGGACGUUAUGGUUCUAUUUUGUUGGUUUCUAGGACCAUCGUAAUGAUUAAUAGGGACGGUCGGGGGUAUCAGUAUUCAGUUGUCAGAGGUGAAAUUCUUGGAUUUACUGAAGACUAACUACUGCGAAAGCAUUUACCAAGGACGUUUUCAUUAA